GAUGAACGCUGGCGGCGUGCCUAAUACAUGCAAGUCGAGCGAACGGACGAGAAGCUUGCUGCUCUGAUGUUAGCGGCGGACGGGUGAGUAACACGUGGAUAACCUACCUAUAAGACUGGGAUAACUUCGGGAAACCGGAUCUAAUACCGGAUAAUAUUUUGAACCGCAUGGUUCAAUAGUGAAAGACGGUCUUGCUGUCACUUAUAGAUGGAUCCGCGCUGCAUUAGCUAGUUGGUAAGUUAACGGCUUACCAAGGCAACGAUGCAUAGCCGACCUGAGAGGGUGAUCGGCCACACUGGAACUGAGACACGGUCCAGACUCCUACGGGAGGCAGCAGUAGGGAAUCUUACGCAAUGGGCGAAAGCCUGACGGAGCAACGCCGCGUGAGUGAUGAAGGUCUUCGGAUCGUAAAACUCUGUUAUUAGGGAAGAACAUAUGUGUAAGUAACUGUGCACAUCUUGACGGUACCUAAUCAGAAAGCCACGGCUAACUACGUG
rnacentral:rRNA from 1 species